GAAAGAUUAUUUAUGUACUUAUAUAAAUAUGAUUAUAUUUUUUUUAAAGGUAUCUUAAGUAAAUUGUGAAAUCUUAAGAUUUUACAUCCCCUUCAUCGAUUCUAGGUUAAAAAAGCGAGUUUGACAACCUUGACAUUAGUUGUCAGGAGAGAAUUUUAACUACCUCAGUAAUUGCCAUUUUUUCCUUUUCUGCCACAAGAAGAAAUUAUCUAGAUAUCAAGGUAAAAUAAUUUCUAUUUUGGAAAAUAAAAUUUAAGGUAUUUUUCAAAACUUUUCUUAAGGAUUAGCCAAAAAUUAAUUUCGUUCUGAUUGUUUGAAAAUUUAAUGAUUACAUCUCUAAUGUUUAAUUUCUUUUACAAAUUGAUUUUUUUUAUUCAAAAUCAAUUCAAAUUCAAAAUUAUCCCCAGUCCCCUCUCUCUCUCUCAUAUCACCAAAAUUUAAAUUUUAAGCUUCAAAAUAUGCAUUUCCAACAACUAGACGAAGACCAAUAAACUCAAUUUGUUCUAGAAUAAAGCUACAUAUAAAUACUGUCUUGUCUAUGGCCAUGGUGCAUAGACGGUUCUUUUCGGUCUUUUCAUUAAUUUUUCUUUCUAUCCUAAAACUUUUCCUUCUUUUAAAUGAUUGUCUACGGCCACAGUGCAUAGAUUGUCCUUUUCGGUCUUUUCAUGAAUUUUUCUUAAUUUUAUUUUCUAUCCUAAAAUUUUCCUCAUUUUGAAAGAAAAUAUAAACAUUCUACCAGUUCACUAUUCAAGAGAGUAUGCUCCUACAAAGGCAAAAUUAGUUGUCAUUUAGGAGAAUAUAUAUAUAUAUUGAAGCAGUAAUUACAUAUAGCCAUCCUAUAAGAAAUAAUGUCAUUAAUAAUGGAUCUUAUACAAUCAAGACUUCUUCACUUUUUACGUGUCAAAAUUGAUGAGAUUUCAUGCUCCAACUUAAGGAGAAGUAUUAUGGAAAGUCAAUAUCAAUAUUUUAUGUAUUUGUAUUUAGUUGUGUAGUUUGUAUUCUUAUUUAGUUGUGC
rnacentral:misc_RNA from 1 species